CUCAUGGAGAGUUUGAUCCUAGCUUAGGAUGAACACUGGCAGCAUGAUUAACACAUGCAAUUCAGACGGGAAGUGGUGUUUCUAGUGGUGGACAGGUGAGUAACGCAUAAGAACCUACCCUUGGAAGGGGAACAACAACUGGAAACGGCUGCUAAUACCCCAUAGGCUGAGGAGAAAAAGGAGGAAUCCACCCAAGGAGGGGCUCACGUAUGAAUAGUUAGUUGGUGAGGUAAUGGCUUACCAAGGCGAUCAUCAAUAGCUAGUCUGAGAGGAUGAUCAGCCACACUGGGACUGAGACACGACCAAGACUCCUACAGGAGGCAGAAGUGGGGAAUUUUCUGCAAUGGGCGAAAUCCUGACGGAGCAAUGUCGCAUGAAGGCAGUAGGCCCACGGGUCAUGAACUUAUUUUAUUGGAGAAGAAACAAUGAUGGUAUCUAAGGAAUAA
rnacentral:ncRNA from 1 species